CAGCUAUAUGAUAAUUUUUGCCAGGUGUCACGCUCACAGUGCUGCAGAGCAAAUCAUAGCUGGACAAAAUGCCAAAAACUUUACUUCUUCUGGCCACAUAUUUGAAUUUCAUUUCCCCCCUUUCAUAUCCUUGCUUGCUGGGCCAAAAUAAACAAGUCCAAUCCUAUUUGGGCCAACUUGAUCCAGUCUGUUUAUUAACUUUCCUUCAGGCCAAACAAAAAAAACUCCUUGCCCAAGAAACUUGCUUGACGCGUCCCUUUCAUUCUCAGCAAUAGAACAGUCACGUCACUUUCAUUUUCAACCAAAACCAUGGAUAUUGAAAACAGGUUCUCAACAUUCAAAUUUCAAAUUUCAAAUUUAAAACUCUCCUCUCUCUCUCUCUCUCUCUCUCUCUCUAAACACCAAAGCCACACACUUCUUCACUUGAUUAUCAAAAUUUUCCUCCAACCUAUUUCAAGACUCAUCCGAGAGGUAAAAUUUUCAUUCAUGAAACCUGAACGAAGGAACCGCCUUCUGGCUUGACACAAUCAGUAUGAUGUUUUCAAGUAGGAGCAGAAGAAUCUGAAACAAAGAGGCAAAAAUAUGUGUUGGUUAUCACAAAUUUUGAUAACCAGUAUGAUUUGAUUUCAUAUUCUAAUCUGAUUUUGUAGAGACAUCAGUAUUAGCUUUAAAUUGAUGAAAUUGGAGGGAUUUUGUUGAUUUUCAAAGUUGGAAGGCAGACAAACAGGGUUGGGAGGCUGAAAGAAAGGAUUAAGAAGUAGAAAUACAGUUUGGAACCACUUAUGUGUUUGGAAAAAGAAGGGAGGUUGAGGUUUGCUUUAGGCCUUUGUAGUUGGCUUUAUUUGUGUUUUGUUGCCUUGGUGUUGUUAUGAGUUUUUCCUUUUUCUCUGUCGAUUUCGCAGCUGCUAUCUUUUAGGCUUUUUUUGCUGCUUUCGGUUUUGUUUUUUCCUUUUAAGUGCCAUUUUUCUUCUGGAUUAAUUGUUAUCUAACAUGAUUUGAUGAAUGACGUUUUUCAUGAACAUACCAAUAUUAUUAUAAAUGUGUUGCUACAAGUGCAAAUUAACUAUUUUAUGAAGAAACUAUUUUUCAGGUGCUUCAAAUAUGUUGUUAUAGUUUUGAAGACUUUUUUGUGUUUAUACUUUGUUACUAUAAUCAUGGUUCAAAUAUAUGAUUGGGGAUAUGCUUUUUAAGUUUUACCAAUCCCACUUUUGUUGUUUGCCUCAAACAAUUUUCGUUUAUGGCUAAAUUUGCAACCAUGUUUCUUCUUCCAUGGAAUUUUUAUGUUAUUUCUUAAAUAUAUACAUGAAUCAAUGUUCAAUAACACAAAAGUUUGAUAAAGAUUUAUUUGAAAAAAAGGAGAUUCACAUGAUCAAAAGCAAUGACUCAAAAUAUAUUUGUGUUUUGUUCUUUUUACUUUCUAUGAUUCACAUGUUUUAUAUCCUUCACGUUACUUGGAUCAAUAGCAGUCCAGAACAUCUUGAUUCCAAGAUUUUGAGAUUUGAGAAAUAUUGUAGAGUAAAUUCACAAGCAAAAUAACUACUAAAUUUACUGAAUUUUUAUUGUUCAAAAUGUAUCUUUUUGUUGUGUUUUUGGAUUUUGCCCCCUACCACGCUUUAUAGUAUUGAGAGAUUGCAUGUCAAGGUGACAUAGUUCUUAAUCCUAAUAAGUAAAUGAUUUUUUUUUAUAAGCAAAAAGUAAAUGAAUUAGUUACAAUGGCUGCUCAAUUAAUCAAGUGUUGGAGGUUGAUUUAUGGCUUUAGACAACUCAAGUGUAGCCUUAAUUGUUCACGCCUUAGCUGAAAAUCAUGUCUUGGUGUAUCUACUAUUAGCAUUCUAAUUUGUGUUGCCAUUAAUAACUUUUGCCUCUUCAACAAUUGACUUCUUUAGUCUUCUUUUUAUCUUUUAUGUUAAAAUUUUUUAUUUAGAUCCUUUUCUUGUGAGCUUAAUAGAUGGAGUAGAUUGAGGUUCUAUUCAUCUUUUGCUUCUUUGGUAUGGUUUGUGCUCUAAUUGAAGAUGCACCUCAAAUGUUUGAGACAUGGCGUAUUUUAUUAAAUUGUUAAUCUCUAGGUUUGUUGGUGAUAGGUUUUACAUCAAGUUUGAAAGAGAGUUCAAAUAAAUCAUGUUGGAGAGUCAAUCAAACUGAAGUUGUUGAUGUCUUUCACGAUCUAUUGGUUAAAGUGGAUACAAGGUGAAGGGAAAUAUGGGAAUAACUUUCAAUAUCAAUUGCUUUCAAUAUUUCUCACUUAAUUAGACUAACUACAAUUUAAUAAUUCUAACUUCAUGUAUACAGAUAGAGUUAGCACAUACAUAAAAUAUGUCUGCUCAAGGAAGGUAUAUAGGCGUUUUGCCUUUCUUAAUGUUCGCCUUGAGUCUUGAAUGUAGUAAAUUUGUAAAAUAGAUGCGGUGUAUUUCUUCAAGUUGGGCAGGUUUCUUCGUGUUAUUGUUUGUUCCUUUUUAAUUAAUUGUAACUGUAAUUGUUUGAAUCUCAUCGUCUGUCUACCUUGGUGAUUUAAUUCAAUUUGUGAAAUGUCAAUAUUAUAGAGGGGUUGAGUAAAAAAAAAAAAAAACAAA